ensembl:lncRNA
AUAACAGUAAAAAAUAAACACCCAGUGAUUAUAAAUUUUAAGACUAAAACUAAAAUUGUUCAAAUAGAUGGCAUCGAUGUUUUUGAUGAAAAAGAAGUUAUAGAAGCAGAAGAAAAUAUAAUAUCAAACAAUAAUGAAUAUGUAAUAAAUCCCUUUUCUGAAAAAAAUAUAAUCGUGAGUUUUAACACUAGCCGAAAGGGGGUAUUUUUGUAUCGUUUUUUUGUCAUGAUAGCAGGUAAGAUAAAAAAAAAAAAAAAAACUGCCAUUUGUUUUAAUGUAUAAACAUAUAUAUAUGUAUGUAUAUAUACAUGCAUAUACACAUAUAACAUACUUUCGUAAUAAACCCUAAAAUUUUUUUUUUCUCAGAAUAUAGGUACAAGGAUAAGCUGGACACAAAAAAAAAAAAAAAAAAAAAUUACAACACACAUGCAUAUAUACAUAUAUAUAUAUAUAUAUAUGUGUGUGUACACGUGAGCAAACUGUUUUAAACACAAGUUUAUGUAACAAUCUGCUUACCUUUUGCAGACACACUGUUGAUAUAAUACUAAAAGUCGUCAUGCCAUAUUUCCAAGUUAUAGAUAUAAACGAUUUUAAAACACCCACAUCUAUUUACUGGAACAUGACAUCUAUAGAUAAAAUUAACGCCUGUUUAAAAGAUCACCUUUCAAAAACAGAGCUAGACUACAAAAAAGAGCAAAGUGUAGAGAAUUUACAAAACUUAUUUAAUCGAUUUAAUUAUAUAGAAUUUAACAUUGGAAAUAAUAUAUUAAAUGAACAAACAUAUGUUAAUUUACUUUUGUAUAACCCAUUAGAUAUAUCAUUAAACAUACAAAUAAAUACUAUCAAGUAUUACAUUUUCCCUAUUUUACCACCAUAUAUCAAAAAUGAAGAAGAAAAGAUGGCCCAGUUUUUAUACGUAGACAAUACAUUCCGUCAUUAUAUGAGGUGUUUAGAUAGUUUUGAUAUUUAUCCUAAAAAAUUCGAAAUAAAAAAAAAGACAGCCAAAACAAUCACUUUAAUAUAUAAGCAUAAAUAUGUUGGCUUUCAUAAUAUGCCAUUAAUAGUUGAAGUAGAAAAUGGGAAAAUAGUUCCUUUGAAUGUUUGCUCCUUAACGCUUUAUCCCAACAUGCCUCCCAUUAAUUGGAUGAAUACUAAGAAUUUUAAUCAACAUAUUUUGACUUUAAAAAACGAGUGUAUCAUAAAUGUAGAUCUGCUAAAUGAUAGUGAAUUAGACAUAUUUUAUGAAAUGCAACAUAACGAAAAUUUUACUAUUUUAAACCCUAAAGGAAUAAUUAAAAGAAGGAAGUAUAUUUCUCUUUUUAUUUUAAUUUCUAGAUUGUCACCAUCAAUAAUGAAAGAAAACUUAAUAUUAAAUUCUUAUUUUAAACAUUUGCAAAAAGAUAUAGUAAUAUAUAUAUAUAUAUAUAUAUAUACAUUAUACUUAUGUUUACAUACAUGCAUAAUAUUACAUUAAUUUAUAUAUUUUUUUUUUAUCCAUACCAAUGUGUAUAUAUAUAAGUACAUAUACUUAUACAUAUUAACCAUAAUAUAAUUAUUAUUAUUUUUUUUUUUUUUUUUUUUAUAGAUGCUUAAUAAAAUACAACUAGAAGUAAAUAUCA